AAAGCUCUCUGCUGUCGUCAUUGUUGCUGCCACGGCAACAGCAUCACCAUAAAGGCAAACAUACUCAGAGCUUUUGGACCAAGCUGCAUCUGGGGCUUUUCUCCGGAAGCUUAAGGUUCCCUAUUCAGAUACAGCCUGGGCUUCACCUUGUGCCACCAAAAUUGUGCCUUUGCUCCCCCCAACCAAAAGCCUAAUACAUAAAAUGAGGAAGGCAGGAUGGUUUCCACAAUGAAUAGCCAGUCUCCGCACUACCACGGGAGGUCUUAUGGCCUUGGGCAAAGCCCUUCAGCUCUUGAAGCCUCCAUUUGCCCACGUAAUGGAAGGAGAUUUGUAGGAAAGAGGAUCUCUAAUCUCCCCGCCUAUAAUUCUAUUAACUUCCCAAUGCUCACAAAAUUCAAGAGUUUUCGGAAAAGUCCCAGUUAAUAGAGUGAUUCACCAAGGAACCAAAUACUAUUUUGUAAAAGAAUCUUCACCCCAAAGAUCUCUCCAAGGUCUCUUAGAGGCUGAUCCUGCCAAAAACCAAGACAAACAGCUCUAAUGGACUUAGGCUCUGGCCUUCUGGGAGUUUGUUUAAUGCUGAGACGUCCUUUGGAUGCUUCACAGAAUCAACCACUCCUGUCUCUUCAGAGAUGUGGUGAUUAAAGAUGGAGAAUGGACCCUUUGCAGUAAAGUCUUUAUUUUUAGGGAAACUAAUUUGAAAUGUGCAGAUUCCGAGAGGUACGCGCAGAUAGCCACUGUGCGAGAAUAUGCCCUCCAUCAAAGCUUACAUCAGAAGAAAAGAAAAACGAGCUUUACUCCAUAAUAUUUAUACUACUCUUGUCCAAACUAUUUGAAAAAUAAAUAGUAGGGAGGAGACAAAGUCAGCCAACUGACAUCCUGAAGAUCUGAGCUUUCCUAUGCAAUGUGGCAUUGCUACCUUUUGGGCAAAGAGGCCACCAAAAACAAUAUGUGCAGCAGGUCCAGAGCAGAAACCAGCCCAUUGGGUUUGGUGCCCUCUCUCGACUGUCCUCUUCAAGAGGACGUAGACACAAGACAAGAGCAUCCUGGAUGAGAGCAUGAGGAGACAACAGAUGGGAACUCGCAAACACCAUUCUGUGAGACCACAUUUGGCUGUCAAAUAUUUGGUAGGAAGAGAGGAAAAAUCCAAAGUGCUAUCGUAGGGGGCCUCUUGUUCGUUGCCUGUAAGGCAGCACCCUAUUCAAGAGACCAAGAUGUCACUGGAGAGAUGGCCACCAAAGGAUCAAAAGAGUGCUUGUAGGUAAAGCCAUAGAAAUCACCCUGAAUAAUGCUCUUCUCAGCAUUAACCUCGAACUGUCAGCAUCAUCGCAGGUUCAAGAAACUGUUGUAGGUGCUAAAGAUACAAAGGACCAAAGAAAACCGUCACCACCAUCAGAGAUCUCACAGUCUAUCACUGGAGAGGAGUUGGAUGAACAACACAGAAGGUUUCUCCUUCAGCAAUUGGACAAAGCCUUGUGUCUGCAACAGGUGAAUACCCAGGGCGAGCGUCCUAAGCCAACCAGCGGGAUAUUGCCCAGAUUUCCCUCUGAAACAAAGAUUCACCUUUUCAAACUAGAAAGUAACACGAGCAUAACACUUUAGGUUUUCUAUACUGAUGAAUACAUUAGAAUGAUCCAUGCUAAUAAGAAAGAAAAGACCUGGAUCACAGAUAGUCACAAAUAAUCAAAGCAUCUCAUUUUGGAUGAGGUUUCAACUUACUCUCUCAUUCAAAAACAGCACAGAAGCUUCCAAGUGGCCCACUCCCAGUCCUUCUCACUACCCUCACCCUCAUCACCCAAUACUGGGAGCUAAAACAGGAGGAAAGGGUGCUCUGCUCCCCCAAUCCCCCACACACCCAAACACAUACACAAUCACCUCAAAACAAAGGAAGUCAAGAGGAAUAUAUGUCACUGGGGUAAGAGGAGAGGGUUGCCCAUUGUGGUGAAAAAAAAGACAGAAGACACCAAUAAAGUGUCCAAGCCAAUAACAGGUUUUACUGAGAGAGGGCCUGUCUCAAAAUAAAGCCAGACUCUAGUCAAGAUCAAGACCAAAGACCCCACCUUUUAGGAAAUAGCCUUUUUAAUGCAUAGAAAUCUGAUGACAUUGUGCUGUAUUAAAGGUAGAGAAUACAGUCAAAAAUUAAAGUAGAAUGAAAAUAAAUCUUUCACAUGGGCAGGUCUUAAUUAAUUAAUGACGAAGUGAUGAAUCAGCUGGAGAGUACAGAAAUAAUCACUCUGGGUGGUAACUAAUAUCUAUUAUUAUGACUGACCUUUCCAAGGCCUCUGCAAUAAGGGGUCAGGGUGUAAUUGCUCUUGCUGACAACUUCUAUUACAAUUAGGAGUCCGCAGCCGGAUGACUGACACAGUCAUUGCACCUAGCCAGGCACCCCAAGGACAGCCCUCCGACUCCUACCUGACUGCCUUAUAAGACACCCCAGAGGCAGCCCUCCACCUCCUGACUGGCUGUCUUAUGCUUACAUGCAGCAGGGUGUGGUGGCCUUGAUCGAAACUUUGGGGUUACAAUCCUAACAGCAAGAUUUAAUACCACCCUAAACUGUAUUUUUCUUAGCUAAUGCUUAUAAUUUCUAUAAAGCAAAUGGUAUUAUUUGUGUUGUAAUCAUGAAGGCUACUACUGUUAAAAUCCUAAAAAGGGCUCAGGGGUUUCACACUCACACCAGCCAGUAGAGCCACUUCAGGAACCAGAAGAAUUUGAAUCAGCUCAACAAGCAGGGACUCCCCAGAGGCAACAAAGCUGCAGUAUGGGAAUGAGCCCAGCCCAAGCCACUCCACUCAGGGGCAGAAGGCUGGGAAAGCAGGAAACCUAAAAACUCUGGCAAUAGAGCCCUGAGGCAAGCAGAGAGGAAGAAGUUAGAAUUUCAGAACCCUACUCAGAGUUCUGGCGGAAGCACAGCCCAGGCUACUUGUCAGGGGCAAGGAAGCAGUAGGGCAGAGACCAGCCCAAUUCAUGAAACAAUGGGGGAAAUAGAAGCAUGGGGUCCUGAAUAUAGCUGGACAAAAUAGCUACAAACCUUCCCGGAGCAAGCCAACAGGACCAGCUCCUUGACAGACAUACCUUAAGGAACAAGGACUGCCAGUCCUACCCUAUGUACCAAAGAAGACUACUCUGCAGUGUGCCCUCUACCCCAGGAACAGAGAAGAAUAUCAACAGAUAGAUAAGGUCACUGGGGUGGGGGUGGGGGGAAACAACUAAAAAGGAAAAGAUUAAAAAAAAAACCUGACCUUAAAAAGUUACUUUAAUGACAGGGAAGAUCAAAAUAUGAACUUAGAAGAGAAUAACAGUACCAUAAGCACAUGAAGCCUCAAAAGAAAGUGGAGAAAGGAUGUCAGGCCACAAAAGAACCCUUGGAAGAACUUGAACAGAAAUUAGAAAGCCAAAUAAUAAGAGAAUUAUCAAAAAAAAUACCCUUAAGAACUUGGGGUAGGGUGUAGAUCAGGGUGAGGGGGGAAAUCACUGAAGAAAUCAACUCCCUAAAAGUAGAAUAGGUCAAAAGGAAAGGAAGGAACAAAAAAUACCUUAAAGAAAACAACUGACUAAGGAAUUGAAUGGACCAAGUGGAAAUGGAGGCAAAAAAAAAAACCCACUGAAGAAAACAGCUCUUUAAAGAGUCGGAUUGGCAAAUGGGAAAGAAAACAUAAAAACUCAAGGAAGAGAAUAACUCCCUAAAAGUUAAAAUUAGAUAAACAGAAACUAACGAAACCAUAAAAAUUAGGAAACAAGUCAAAAUAAAUAAAUUAAAUUAAUGGAAGAAAACCUAAAAUAUCCUACUGGAAAAACAACUGACCUGGAAAAUAGAUUUGGGAGAGAUAAUCUAAGAAUCAACAGAGUACCUGAAAGCCUUGAGCAAAAAAGAGUCUGACAUUGUAUUACAAGAAAUCAUCAGUGGAUAUUGCCUUGGUAUCCUCAAACAAGAGGGGAAAAUAGAAAAUGAAAGAAUCCACCAAUCACCUCCUGAAAAGGACUCCAAAAUAAAACACCACAGGAAUAUUAUGCCUAAAUUUUAUAACUCCUAAGUCAAGGAAAAAGGCACUCCAAGCUUCCAGGGGGAAACAAUUCAAAUAUCAAGAAACCCCAAUCAGGAUUACAAAGAACCUAGCAACUUCUACAUUAAAGGACCAGAAAUCAUGGAAUAUGAUUUUCUAAAAGGCAAAGAAUCUAGAACUACAACCUAGAAUUACAUAGCAAGCAAAAUUGAGCAUAAUCCUCCAGAGAAGAAAAUUGAUGUUCGAUGAUAGAGGAAUUUCAGGGUUUUCUGACCAAAAACCUAGAGCUGAAAAGAAAAUCUGAUGAGCAAAUUUGACACUAAAAAGAAGCAUAAAAAUAUAAAGUGAAAACAAGGGUUUUGCUAAGGUUGAAUUGAGUAUGCUCGUGCCUGGGGAGGUGGUAAUUGAAGGAAUUAAGAUAUCUAUGAUGCUUGAGUUAGGGCACUUAAAAUAUGCAAGAUACCUAAAGUACCUCUGAUGCUUGGAAAGUGAUCACUAUUAGAGCAAUGCAAAGGAGUGUAUAGAGAAAGCAGGAAGGAGGCUAAGUAAGAUGGACUGACAUUUAAAAAGGGGAGAUGGGACAGAGGAACAUAUGAGAGAGGAGAAAUGGAAAGGGGUAAGCUACCUCUCCUUAAGAAGCACAUAAGUGGCAAAUGCAGAGGAGGAAAACAUGCAUGUGUGGAGGGGAUGGUUAUGAUUGAAGCUCACUCUCGUCAGAACUAGCUCAAAGGAAGAAUAGCACUCACAUUCAGUCAGCUAUAGAAACCCAGCUUAUCCUACGGGGAAGUACGAAGGUAGGGAGAACAGGGAGAGAGGAUCACCCUCCUCCAAAGUGCUUCCAGUCUGCCAAAGUCCUUCUUAAAGCAUGACACCUACGAUCGCAUUAGCCUGGCUGGGUGCCAUGCCACACUAAUGACUCGUAUGAAAAUUUUGAUUCACAAAUCUAUGCUCGUCUUUUUCCCAUGUAGUCGUGUCUAGCCAAAUCUCCCCACCUCUAGUUACAUAGUACGUCUGCUUAUCAGUGUCCCACGGUCUUGCCGAGGACAAUAUCCAAGACAAAGCACCUCAAUUGGACGGAUCCUUGUAAUGAACUUUCAGGAGGGCAUGGACCAGGGUCAGAUACCAGAAGCGAAAGCCGGCUCUGAUUAUUGCACAAAACACAGGCUGAACUGAACUUGUGUCAUGAAUAUUUUAGUGAGAAGAGACAAGGCUCAGACAUUUUUAAAAGUCAUUUGACUUUUUUCACUUCAAAGCUCCACAAUGAAAAUGAUGCUUUUAGAAAUUCCUGGCACGAACUCACGGGGGGACCCCAAAAUAAGAUGAAAAGGGUCUCUCUGCGAUGCCGCUAGUCAAAGGAAAGGAUUCAUUCAUUCUGGAAUUCGAUCUCUGCUGACUGUGGCCUGGAAUGUUUCUCUGGCAAGUCUCCCUGGAGACUCCCUUGUGCAAUAUUCCAUUAACAUCCUAUAAAACCCAGCCCAGAUCUGUGAAGUCCCCUCUAGGCAGGAGAGCAGAGUUCAGUCCUGACCGACCUUCUUGUGGACUUCAGGCCAUCAUUUUCGGGGAGGGGGGAAUAGCUAGCCCUGAGGGUCUUCCAUUUCCAGAACUACUGCCCUGGUCCCUAAAACCCUCAUUCCCAAGCCAAGGUCAGAGAGGGAAAACUUGGAUGACACCCUUCUACCAGACAGGAAGGCACCUCUGCUCUCGCCCAGGAACUGUCCAAGAAGCGAGUCAUCCUUCAUCCUCGUAAGGAGAUCUUCCCCUCCUCUCCUUGAGACAAAGCGCCCACAAAUCACCCUCCUGAGCAAGGUGCAGCCGGAAGAUUAAGAAAUCGGCUGAAUGUGUGGGCCCGGCUAUUCACCGCCCAGCAAUAAAAGACACCUUCCCAUCGGUCUUGUCAUGUGACGCCAAUUCCCCAGGCGCAAUGACCCAAACGGGUGGAGGCUCCCAGCGAACCUCAUUCGAGGCCCUCCUGGACCCUGCAAAACACCAAGCUGGCCCUCCUUCCCCCCAAAGAGGCAUUCAGGCAAGACCUGCCUUUGGGGCGUUAUUCAGGCAUUUUCCAGGAAGGACUGGAGCAAUGUGCAAAUAGCUGACCAUUACGGAAGGACACACACACACACACCUCUGUCGCCACAUUGCAUGGAAGCCCUAAUGGAAGAUCACUAAAUCAA